rnacentral:rRNA from 1 species
GAUGAAUGCUGGCGGCGUGCCUAACACAUGCAAGUCGAGCGGCAGCGAGUUUUACACUGAAUUCUGGAAGCUUCUGAGUAGUACAGAAGAUUUAUUCAAGAGUUUUGUGUAAAAUGUCGGCGAGCGGCGGACGGCUGAGUAACGCGUAGGAAUUUGCCCCAAAGUGAGGAAUAACUGCCCGAAAGGGUAGCUAAUGCCGCAUAUGGUCUUCGGAUUAAAGCCUUCGGGCGCUUUGGGAGAAGCCUGCGUUGGAUUAGGUAGUUGGUAGGGUAAUGGCCUACCAAGCCGACGAUCCAUAGCUGGUCUGAGAGGAUGAUCAGCCAGACUGGAACUGAGACACGGUCCAGACUCCUACGGGAGGCAGCAGUGAGGAAUCUUCCACAAUGGGCGAAAGCCUGAUGGAGCAACGCCGCGUGAGGGAUGAAGGCCUUCGGGUUGUAAACUUCUUUUAUGAGUGAAGAAUAUGACGGUAACUCAUGAAUAAGCACCGGCUAACUACGUG